GACCCCAGGUCAGGCGGGACUACCCGCUGAGUUUAAGCAUAUCAAUAAGUGGAGGAAAAGAAACUUACAGGGAUUCCCCUAGUAACGGCGA
rnacentral:rRNA from 1 species